rnacentral:rRNA from 2 species
GAUGGACCAACCUCUGGUGCACCAGUUGUCACGCCAGUGGCACAGCUGGGUAGCUAUGUUGGGACUGGAUAAACGCUGAAAGCAUCUAAGCGUGAAGCCAACCUCAAGAUGAGAUUUCCCAUAGCGUAAGCUAGUAAGACUCCUGGAAGAACACCAGGUUGAUAGGUCAGAGAUGUAAGCAUGGUAACAUGUUAAGUUGACUGAUACUAAUAAGUCGAGGGCUUGACCAAAUAA